UACGGGGGGGGCAAGCGUUGUUCGGAAUUACUGGGCGUAAAGGGUGCGUAGGCGGUGCUCUAAGUCGGAUGUGAAAACUCUGGGCUCAACCCAGAGCCUGCAUCCGAAACUGGAGUGCUAGAGUUCUGGAGGGGGUAGCGGAAUUCCUGGUGUAGCGGUGAAAUGCGUAGAUAUCAGGAGGAACACCGGUGGCGAAGGCGGCUACCUGGACAGUAACUGACGCUGAGGAGCGAAAGCGUGGGGAGCGAACAGG
rnacentral:rRNA from 1 species